UACGGCCGCAUCACGUUGAAACACCGGUUCCCGUACGAUCACCGAAGUUAAUCAACGUCGAGCCUGGUCACUACCUAAAUGGGUGACCAUUUAGGAAUGCCAUGUGCUGUAAG